rnacentral:tRNA from 1 species
CCCUGGUUAGUUCAGUUGGUAGAGCUAUCCACUUGUAAUGGAGAGGUCCUGGGUUCGGUAUCCGGACCAGGCG